GGAUGCGAUCCCAGCACUAAUGCACACCGGAUCCCAUCAGAACUCCGAAGUUAAGCGUGCUUGGGCGAGAGUAGUACACCCCUGGGAAGUCCUCGUGUUGCAUCCC
rnacentral:rRNA from 1 species